rnacentral:lncRNA from 1 species
AUGAUUUCCCAAAGUGUUAGAGCUGAAGUGUGUUUCCUUGUGUAUAUAUACUGUGGUUCCUUUAUCCCUUCAUCUGUGGAUAGACAGGUGCAACCGUGUGGUUCCCCACGAUAUGAUUUCAUUGUGGUUUUCUGUCUGAAGAGUAUCCCAGUAUGUACCUGUGGAGCAGCUUCUUUAUCCCUUCAUCUGUGGAUAAGCAGUGCAGGCCAAGGCCCCCUGCCCAUGGAGGUGUGCUGCAGACAGCAGCAGCAGCAGCAGCAGCAGCAGCAGCAGCAGCAGAGGCCUGGCUUCCUGAGGAAUUGCUGGCCGGUUUGAGGAAGGAAGGAAGUCCCACCUACCAUGAUCACCCUCCAGCCUGGAGGAAGCUCCAUGCCAGCAGCAUGGACCAGCAUGGGAGCCAGAGCCCUGCUAAUGCUGCAGCUCAUCACCCCUGCUCAGCAGCCCAGCAGCCCAGCAGCCAUUGCCACAUCCCAUUUCCAGGGCCUCCUGCCCCCAUGCCCCCACGUGCCCAUGGACCGACACACCACUCUUCCUGUUGGCCCAAGCUGACCUAUUGGGUUGCUGCACAGAGCAGAGACGAUGACGUGCACCGAGGAGAAGUUGUUGAGGCUUAGGCACUCCUGGAGAGGGAAGAAUGAGCUGUGCGGUUCAGAGUUGGAGCUUGGCCCACUACAGCCUCAGCCCCCUCUGCUGAGAUCUCCCCUCCUGGAUGAAGCAGAGGCCUGGGGAGCCUCAGGAGGGCAGACCUGGGGCCGAGUGGAUGUCACUCAUCUAGGAGGAUUUUAGUUCAACCCAAGGAAGACCCCAGGUCGGAAGUGAGCAGCCACCACUGGGCCGUGGGAGUCAAGGUGAGUGAAGCUCUGGCAAGAAGAGCCUAGGGGAUGUGCAGGGUCCAGGCCAGAGAUACAGAUGCCGAUCCUGAAAGCCGAUGGAGGAGAAGAGGAAGUUCCCCAUUUUUAAAGAGGGAAUCCCCAGGCCCAACCAUAGCUUACCCUGGCCACCUUGAUCCAGUGCUCCACCACCCUGGCCCUGUCCCGGGCCCUCAUGCUGUGGUCCCCGAGGCAGGAGGUGGUGAUGCAGUUGGUGAGCCUGUUGAAGUGUGCGAUGGUGGCACGAACUGUGGGUGCCAUGUGCUCAUUCCCCUUCAGAUGUCCUUGGCCCCAGAUGCAGCCCAAGCAUUCGUGGAGCACCACCUUCUUGAACAGCUCCUUUGGGGGAGGAGGAGAGUGUCACGGACACAGCACACUGCAGCUCAGAGUCACCCACAGUCCCAGGCAGGGACUGAGCUCACAGUCAUCCACGGUCUCUGGCAGGAACCAAGCUGGAGCUCAGAAAGCUUUAAAAUGGGCUCCAGACUUGUGGGAGUCCCUGGGUUUGGUUUUCUGCCCCCGAGGGACCUGAAUGCAUCAUGGCCUAGAACCCAACAAGGGUGGGAAGAGAGAGUGACAUUUUCUCCCAGGCCAUCCACACUCUAAGAACUAGAAGGUGGCUCAGGCCUGCCCAUCCUGAGGCCUCGUCUUCCUCCCAUCCCAAUCAGCCCUCUACUACUCCUCUCCGUACCGGUGCACUUUCCUUGUGGCAGCUGCAACUAUGGGCUCUGUUUGGGUGUCUACCAUAGAAUCCAGUAUGCAUCAGGUACCUAAUAAGUGCUGAGGGUAGUGAGGCUCCUGAGCAGCUGGGUGAGUGACCCAUGGCCCUGCCUGCCCCACAGUGAGCACCUGCCCUGCCCUGCUUUCUGUCCAUCUCCUGUCACUCAGUCUGCACAGUCACUCUGUGCAGCUGGCGCUGGUGAUGUCCCAUCUCUGCCGUCCACAUGCAGACAGGGAAGGCUUGUGGGUGAGGAAACUCAUCCAGAUCCCACGGUUGGUAAGAAGUGGGGCUGAAAUUGGACCGAGGGCAUUGGCUGCUCCUCAGGGAGAGGCUGGUCUGAGACAGCUGGUGCCAGAGACACAGCCUGCAAAGCUCAGCUGCUCACCGCAUCCAUGAGGGUCAGCUGCUCUGCCAGCAGCCUGGGAGGGAAGGUCGUCAUGUCAGGCAGCUCCUCACUGGGUUGGUUCUUUACAGACCCACGACAGGGACAGGAGGACUCUGGGGCUGACUGUGGCUCCAGCACUGUCCCUGGAGGGGGCCCUUCCCCUGGUGCUGGUGCUGGCCCUGGUGCUGAAUGUAGAUAUCCUGGUGGACCCAGGGCUGCAGGUGACUCUGGCUCCAGAGCAGGCCCCAGGUCCGCCAGCAGUGGUGGUGCUGGCUCCAGGGCCGGCAUUGUUAAUGCGUGUUGCCCAGGACGUGGAGCAGGAUCUGGAAAAGGAGAAAAGGUCACCACACCAGUCAUUUUUCACUGGGUUUUCCAAGCACAGAAAUGACCGGGUGGAAUUUAAGGGAAUUGUAGCCCCAAAACACCACCCCCGGAAAGUCUUGCAGACUGCAAGCCCCCUCACCAUCUGGCUUGGCCUCGUUGGGCUCCGGAAGCACCAACUGGCCUAGGACAAUUUCCUGAUGGUCCUCCAAGCCCAGUCCAGGCCAGGAGAGGUUCCUGAAGGCCAGCUUUAUCCGGAAAGAUGACCGUUGCGGGGGCUGAUAGUAAACUGAAGUGUUUUCGGGGGGCCAGUUGAACAAAAUGGAGGUGAUGGUGCUGGUGAUGGAGUAGACAGCUGAGUCAGAGGCCUGGCCUUCUCCCACACAACCCUCCAGGGCACCCCUGCGUGGUUCUGGGUCCCUGGCCUGUUGCUGCCAGUGUGGAGGACAGCCCCACCCUACCGUAAGCCAUCAGUGCUGUCCUGGAAGGGGCAGACCUGGCCAUACAGCAGGGCUGUACAGACCCUCGUGCGCCCUGGCGUCCCACAGACAUUCUCUUCCCAAAGGCCCUGGAGCACAGCACUGUACACCUGGGCACUCAAGACUGCAGCUGCAGGCAGAUUUGUGAGCAGCUUCCUCAUCAAAGCUCCAGAUCUGGGUCCCCUGGUCCUGGGGUUAGGAGGGAAGGGGCAGAUGUCGGGGGGAGGAGGACAGGGAGAGCUGGGAAGCCACGGUGCUGAGGGGGAUGGGUCUCUCAGUGGCCAGCUGUGACCCCAGCCUCCCCUCUGCUUUGCAGGGGACCUAAGUCUCCAUUUACAGAACUCACUAUUUGCCUCUUGUGGGGGAAGUCCCCAGAUGUCAGCCUUCUCGUGGGAAUUAUAAGAAGUAUGAGCCCCAGAGCUCCUUUAGUCUCUCCCCAGCCAGAGUCCACAUAUUUUCCCCCAUGUUUUGUGGGUGAAAAGGCCCUUCAGAACCCUAAAUCCACCCAGUUUAUAUUUGUUGCUGGGCUGCGUCAUUCUAGUCAGAAUCUGGGAGGAUGCCACCAUACGUAGAGGAGGCCAUGAGGGUCUCACCUGUAACAUUCUGUAGAUAUGACUUGUUUAUUCUGUCUACUGUGAGUGCCUGACUCUGAGUAGAAUCAAGGCCGGGGGAUUGUCAUCUGCUUUGUUUAUGAAAUUAUGCCAAGCCCCAAGAAGAGCGAUGCACAAAUGAGGUGUUUUGAAUGUAUGUGUUGAAUGAGUGAACCCCAACCUUUGGAGAACCCCAGUGAGCCUCUCCAGAUGUCUGAGUGGGCCUGUGGCUCCUUUUUCAGCACCAAGGGACCCCUCUUCUGUCUGUGUCAAGGAGAAAGACCAGCCAGAAGGAAUCUCAGACAUCCUUUACCAGUGCCAUCGCAGACUUGGUUUCUAUGUGUUUUUCCAAACAGUGAGUGAUACAGGCCAUUGAGGCAGAAUGCUGAGAGCUGCUUCAAGUGAGGGGGAAGAGAAAAGUAACAAACAUGAAUCACAGCACCCCCAGCAGAUUUUCCAGAGUUUUAGGCUCUAGGGACCCCUUUGUUUGCUGUGUCUUAGAUCAUUGAGUCCCUACAAGAACCCUGUGAGGUUCGUCUUCUCACUACUCCCUGUUCCAGAGGAGCCAACCGAGGCUCCGAGAGGUGCAUCUUCAAGACAGAGCCAGUAGGGGACAGAGGCACCUCUGUGUCUUGGAGGGGGAUGGACACUCACCUUCUAACCAGUAGUUCCAAAAAGUGUGGCACAGUGAUAAAGUCCCAGGAGGGGCCCAGGCAGGUGGCAUAGGAGGAGAUGGGUUUAGUUAGAAAGGCUGGAACCAGGGACUCCCAACAGCUUCUCCCCAGUGCCGGGCUGGAAAGUUAGCAUCCUGCAGAUCUCAUUUUCAUACUAGGGGGACAAGGAGGGACAUGGGAGUCAGUGGUAACACCAUGGACCACCAGAGGAUCGGGAUCUGGAACUCACACCAAGAAGCACCAACCCUUCAGGGACUUGUGCAUAUGGAGAACCUGGGUGCCCAUGGUGAAAAGCGUUCUAGGCUUUCAAAGUAACAUUGCAUGUGAGGAUGGAGAAUGAUAAAACGAUUCCUGCCUUCAAGGCAUCGUCCCGGUGUUUGUCAGCUGUGGGGCAACAGCACCCUCUGUGUCAGCAACCUGCAUGAAGAGCAUCAUCCCUGCAAGUCCUCAAGGCCUGGGGAGGCCUCAUCCCCUCCUCAUUUCAGCAACAGCACACAGGACAAUACGCUCUAGAAGAACUCUUUGACUUAAAGGUAUAUGAUUGUUUUUG